UACGGGGGGGGCAAGCGUUGUUCGGAAUUACUGGGCGUAAAGGGUGCGUAGGCGGCUUUCUAAGUCAGAUGUGAAAGCCCUGGGCUCAACCCAGGAACUGCAUUUGAAACUCCCUUUCUUGAGUGUCGGAGAGGAAAGCGGAAUUCCUGGUGUAGAGGUGAAAUUCGUAGAUAUCAGGAGGAACACCGGUGGCGAAGGCGGCUUUCUGGACGACAACUGACGCUGAGACGCGAAAGCGUGGGGAGCAAACAGG
rnacentral:rRNA from 1 species